rnacentral:rRNA from 1 species
GAUGAACGCUAGCGGGAGGCCUAACACAUGCAAGUCGAACGGGAUUCACCUUCGGGUGAUGAGAGUGGCGCACGGGUGAGUAACGCGUAUGCAACCUUCUCCAAUCAGGGGGAUAGCCCGGAGAAAUCCGGAUUAAUACCCCAUAUUAUUAUAGUUUCGCAUGGGACUUUAAUGAAAGCUUCGGCGGUUUGGGAUGGGCAUGCGUGGCAUUAGCUGGUUGGUGAGGUAACGGCUCACCAAGGCGACGAUGCCUAGGGGUUCUGAGAGGAUGAUCCCCCACACUGGUACUGAGACACGGACCAGACUCCUACGGGAGGCAGCAGUGAGGAAUAUUGGUCAAUGGGCGCAAGCCUGAACCAGCCAUCCCGCGUGAAGGAAGACUGCCCUAUGGGUUGUAAACUUCUCUUGUACAUGAAGAACGGGCCUUACGUGUAAGGUUAUGACGGUAAUGUACGAAUAAGCAUCGGCUAACUCCGUGCCAGCCGCCGCGGUAACAC